rnacentral:rRNA from 1 species
GAGGAAUGUAUAGCAAUAGCUAGUUGCAUCAUAGUAAAUAUGAUGCAGGAUUGACUAUGUUGAAUAAAAUUCUAGGUAUGAUUAUGAUAAUGACAUUGUCUGCCUAUAUGUCUUGACCAAAUUACGUGCCAGCAGUCGCGGGAAUACGUAGAAGACUAGUGUUAUUCAUGUUUAAUCGGUUUAAAGGGUACCUAGACGGCAGAUCAAGCUUUCCGAGCAGAAUAAAGAAAGAGAGAAUAAAGGAAGUAAAAAGGACUAAUUUGCUAGAGUUACUUACGAUGGGGCUUUUAAGUACUGCUGGUGUAGAGAUGAAAUCCUAUAAUACCUAAGUUCGAAAGAAUAAUAAUGGCACAGGUAUAGGCGAAGGCAUCCCCUUAUGUGAUAACUGACGUUGAGGGACGAAGGCUUUUAACAGCGAACGGGAUUAGAUACCCCAUUAGUGGAAGCAGUAAAUGAUGAAUGUCAUAGAUUAGCUAGAUAGGUUCAUUCUAUAAAUGAAAGUGUAAGCAUUCCACCUCAUGAGUAAUAUGGCAACAUUGGAAUUGAAAUCAUUAGACCGUUUCUGAAACCAGUAGUGAAGUAUGUUGUUUAAUUUGACGAUCCGCAAAAAACCUUACCACAAUUUGAAUAUAUAUAUUUUUUUAUUGUGUCGCUAUUAAUUUUCUUCUCUUUAUACAAACAUGACACAAUCAUAUAAGAAAAGAGGAAAUAUAUUAAUAAAGAGGCAAUAAGAUAUAUUUACAAGCGCUGCACGGUUGUCUUCAGUUAAUGUCGCGAGAUUUUGGUUAGAUCCAUUAAAUUAACGUAAACCCUUACUUUAUUUUUAGAUAGAGUUGUUCCCCACUAUAUUGGAUACGAU